rnacentral:tRNA from 1 species
GGUUUUAUAGUUUAGUAAAAAUAUUAAAUUGCAAAUUUAAAGUUGAUAAAAUUAUCUAAGACUU